rnacentral:rRNA from 1 species
AACGAACGCUGGCGGCAUGCCUAACACAUGCAAGUCGAACGAGACCUUCGGGUCUAGUGGCGCACGGGUGCGUAAAGCGUGGGAACCUGCCCUUAGGUUCGGACUAACUCCCCGAAAGGGGUGCUAAUACCGGAUAAUGUCUUCGGACCAAAGAUUUAUCGCCCUUGGAUGGGCCCGCGUUGGUUUAGCUAGUUGGUAGGGUAAAAGCCUACCAAGGCGACGAUCCAUAGCUGGUCUGAGAGGAUGAUCAGCCACACUGGGACUGAGACACGGCCCAGAAUCCUACGGAAGGCAGGAGAGGGGAAUAUUGGACAAGGGGCGAAAGCCUGAUCCAGCAAUGCCGCGUGAGUGAUGAAGGCCUUAGGGUUGUAAAGCUCUUUUACCCGGGAUGAUAAUGACAGUACCGGGAGAAUAAGCUCCGGCUAACUCCGUG